rnacentral:rRNA from 1 species
UGGGGAAUUUUGGACAAUGGGGGAAACCCUGAUCCAGCCAUCCCGCGUGUGCGAUGAAGGCCUUCGGGUUGUAAAGCACUUUUGGCAGGAAAGAAACGUCAUGGGUUAAUACCCCGUGAAACUGACGGUACCUGCAGAAUAAGCACCGGCUAACCACGUGCCAGCAGCCGCGGUAAUACGUAGGGUGCAAGCGUUAAUCGGAAUUACUGGGCGUAAAGCGUGCGCAGGCGGUUCGGAAAGAAAGAUGUGAAAUCCCAGAGCUCAACUUUGGAACUGCAUUUUUAACUACCGGGCUAGAGUGUGUCAGAGGGAGGUUGAAUUCCGCGUGUAGCAGUGAAAUGCGUAGAUAUGCGGAGGAACACCGAUGGCGAAGGCAGCCUCCUGGGAUAACACUGACGCUCAUGCACGAAAGCGUGGGGAGCAAACAGC